AGUCGUAACAAGGUCUCCGUAGGUGAACCUGCGGAGGGAUCAUUACUGAGUGAGGGCCCCCGGCCCGACCUCCAACCCUUUGUAAACCGACCCUGUUGCCUCGGGGGACUCCGGCGUCUUCGGGCGCCGGGCCCCCCGUGGACCCCCAACUCAUGCGUCAUUUGGUUCGGCAGUUGAAUGAUAAAUCAAUUAAAA
rnacentral:misc_RNA from 1 species